UCAGGAAAUCCCUUCAGAGAAUUGUUGGCCCCAGACAAAAGCUGCACUAUUAGCUACUUAAAGCUUUACACUGAGGUCUGUGUCAUCUGACCUCUGCAGCUCUUUGAAGUUGCUAAAAUAAAAUCUUAAUAUUUCCUUUUUUUAUUCUCUCUGGAAAAGACUCAGAAAUCCUUAGUCAACGUUUUCUGUCUUCCUUAGAGUCACUUCUGAUCCUAGAGGAAGAUGUUUCCCCAUCAAAGAACGCGGGUGCACAAUUGGGGUGUGAAUUUGUCCAUUUUGAGGCGAUUCUACGUACGAACAACACGAGCAGAGUCCAGAGCCAGGAGAGCAGAUGAGCCAGACUCUUCAUGGCUCUCUUUGGAGUUCUUUGUGGCAAAGAUAUUGGAGUGGUUCGCCAAUUCCUUCUCCAGCUCAUUUUACAGAUGAGGAACUAAAGCAACAGACUUGCCAGUGGAUAUGCAGUAAGUGUCUGGGACCAGAUUUCAACUCAAGAAGAUGAAUCUUCCUGACUCUAAGCCCAGUAGUCUAUCUACUGCACCACCUAGCUGUCUUUAAUCACUAACACUUAACCUUUUUCAUAGAGUUGUUAUAAGGAAAAUAAAACUCUGAAUUGUAAACUCUGAAUUGCUUUA
rnacentral:lncRNA from 1 species